AGACGUAGGGCACAAGCGUUGUCCGGAUUUAUUGGGCGUAAAGGGCUCGUAGGCGGCCUGUCGCGUCGAUCGUGAAAACUGGGGGCUUAACUUCCAGCUUGCGGUCGAUACGGGCAGGCUUGAGGUAGGUAGGGGAGAACGGAAUUCCACGUGUAGCGGUGAAAUGCGCAGAUAUGUGGAGGAACACCGGUGGCGAAGGCGGUUCUCUGGGCCUAUCCUGACGCUGAUGAGCGAAAGCGUGGGGAGCGAACAG
rnacentral:rRNA from 1 species